UACGGCCAUAUGACGUUGAAACAUUGGUUCCCGUACUAUCAUCGAAGUUAAGCCUGGUCACUACCUAGAUGGGUGACCACUUGGGAAUACCAGGUGCUGUAAGC